AACGAACGCUGGCGGCAUGCCUAACACAUGCAAGUCGAACGAGACCUUCGGGUCUAGUGGCGCACGGGUGCGUAACGCGUGGGAACCUGCCCUUAGGUUCGGGAUAACUCCCCGAAAGGGGUGCUAAUACCGGAUAAUGUCUUCGGACCAAAGAUUUAUCGCCUUUGGAUGGGCCCGCGUUGGUUUAGCUAGUUGGUAGGGUAAAAGCCUACCAAGGCGACGAUCCAUAGCUGGUCUGAGAGGAUGAUCAGCCACACUGGGACUGAGACACGGCCCAGACUCCUACGGGAGGCAGCAGUGGGGAAUAUUGGACAAUGGGCGAAAGCCUGAUCCAGCAAUGCCGCGUGAGUGAUGAAGGCCUUAGGGUUGUAAAGCUCUUUUACCCGGGAUGAUAAUGACAGUACCGGGAGAAUAAGCUCCGGCUAACUCCGUG
rnacentral:rRNA from 1 species